rnacentral:tRNA from 1 species
GCCCACAUAGCUCAGCGGGUAGAGCGUCGCCUUGGUAAGGCGGAGGUCACCGGUUCAAGCCCGGUUGUGGGCU